GCUGCCUCUCAGGACUCCUUCCCUCCAUUCGCCAUCAUCAUCAUUGUGUUCUGCAGUGUCGCACUUUUGGUUCUCCCAGUAAUCAUUGCAUUGCUGUGGAAAACUGGUAUAUUCAGCAUGGCAAGGAGGUCCUUCAGUCCGAACUCCCACAAAUAUACUGACGUCAGCUCCUUAGUGUUACCGCACACAAGGAUAUAAUGUGAUGCAAUUCAAGAAGAGCAGGAAGAAUGAAGGUAUGGAAACAAAGUUUAUAAAGUUGAAAUCAAUAUCUUGUGGCUACAAGGUGUUAAUGAAGUACUGUAUUUUUACACUUCCACAAAAGC